rnacentral:rRNA from 1 species
AUGGUUACGCGCCAUCGUGAUCAUACGCGCAAGGAGAAGUCUUACACUGAUGGCACGGUUCGGUAUGACUCUCGCCGCCGUGCCUUCUUCGCCGCGCCAGUUUCCCAUCGUGAUGCUCUGGGUGAACCUGCCUGGCGUGCCGUCAUGUCCGAGGAGUUUGCUGCUCUCCGUCACACUAACACCUGGGUGUUGGUGCCUCGACCACCUGGUGUUAAUAUUGUGAGCUGCAAGUGGAUUUUCAAAACCAAGCAUCGUCCGGAUGGGUCUGUUGAUAAGCACAGAGCUCAUCUUGUUGCUCGUGGUUUUACUCAACAUCAUGGGAUUGACUACGGAGAUACUUUUAGCCCCGUGGUGAAGCCUGCCACGGUUCGCUUGGUUCUGUCUCUUGCUGUGUCUCAUGGCUGGAGCCACCGACAGAUUGAUGUGAGCAAUGCCUUUCUACAUGGGUUCCUGGCCGAAGAUGUGUACAUGCAGCAGCCACCUGGGUUCGAGGAUGCCACUUAUCCCUCUCAUGUCUGCAAACUUCAGCGGUCUAUUUAUGGUCUCAAGCAGUCGCCCCGUGCCUGGUAUGCUCGUUUGAGUCAGCGCCUUUCGCGGCUCGGUUUUGUUGCCUCCAGAUCAUAUGCAUCUAUGUUCAUCUUCUCCUAG